UUAGUUAGCUCAGUUGGUAGAGCAACGGACUCUUAAUCCGUGGGUCCAGGGUUCGAGCCCCUGACU
rnacentral:tRNA from 2 species